UCCAUUCAACCAACUCUUUCCAGCAUUAAAGGAGUCUCCUUCAGUCUUCAAGUCUUCAAGACAUUCAAGAGGAGACCCCGAGUUCCAGAAGCCCUCCCUUACAUCUUCAUAAAUUUGUUUGAGGGCUCUUAACUUCUCUCUUAUUUAUAUCGCUGUAUAUCUGCUUGUUUAGAAGCUCUAUUUUUCUGUCUGUCUUUGUUCAAACCGUUUGUUCCUUACUUGAUUCA
rnacentral:lncRNA from 1 species